AGCGAACGCUAGCGGCGGGCCUAACACAUGCAAGUCGAGCGCGUACCUUCGGGUACGAGCGGCGGACGGGUGAGUAACACGUAGGUAAUCUGCCUUUUGGUGGGGAAUAACCCAAGGAAACUCGGGCUAAUACCGCAUACGGUCUCCGGAUCAAAGCCUUCGGGCGCCAGAAGAUGAGCCUGCGUCGCAUUACCUAGUUGGUGGGGUAAUGGCCUACCAAGGGGACGAUGCGUAGCUGGUCUGAGAGGAUGAUCAGCCACACUGGGACUGAGACACGGCCCAGACUCCUACGGGAGGCAGCAGUGGGGAAUAUUGCGCAAUGGGGGAAACCCUGACGCAGCCACGCCGCGUGGGUGAUGAAGGCCUUCGGGUUGUAAAGCCCUGUCGGGAGGGACGAAGUUCUGACGGUACCUCCCAAGAAAGCACCGGCUAACUCCGUGCCAGCCGC
rnacentral:rRNA from 1 species